AUUGAACGCUGGCGGCAUGCCUAACACAUGCAAGUCGAACGGAGAUAGGGGCAACCUUAUUUCAGUGGCGGACGGGUGAGGAAUGCGUCGGAAUCUGCCCUAUGGUGGGGGAUAACACAGGGAAACUUGUGCUAAUACCGCAUAAUGUCGAGAGACCAAAGCAGGGGACCGCAAGGCCUUGCGCGAUAGGAUGAGCCGACGCCCGAUUAGCUUGUUGGUAGGGUAAUGGCCUACCAAGGCGACGAUCGGUAGCUGGUCUGAGAGGAUGAUCAGCCACACUGGGACUGAGACACGGCCCAGACUCCUACGGGAGGCAGCAGUGGGGAAUAUUGGACAAUGGGCGCAAGCCUGAUCCAGCAAUGCCGCGUGUGUGAAGAAGGCCUCGGUUGUAAG
rnacentral:rRNA from 1 species